UACGUAGGGUGCAAGCGUUGUCCGGAAUUAUUGGGCGUAAAGAGCUCGUAGGCGGUGUGUCGCGUCGGCUGUGAAAACCUGGGGCUCAACCCUGGGCUUGCAGCUGAUACGGGCAGACUGGAGUUCGGCAGGGGAGACUGGAAUUCCUGGUGUAGCGGUGAAAUGCGCAGAUAUCAGGAGGAACACCGGUGGCGAAGGCGGGUCUCUGGGACGGUACUGACGCUGAGACGCGAAAGCGUGGGGAGCGAACAGG
rnacentral:rRNA from 1 species